rnacentral:rRNA from 1 species
ACGGGUGAGUAACGCGUGGACAAUCUACCCUGUAGACUGGGAUAACACCUCGAAAGGGGUGCUAAUACCGGAUAAUGUCGAGAAGCGGCAUCGCUUUUCGAAGAAAGGAGGGAAUCCGCUAUAGGAGGAGUCCGCGUCCCAUUAGCUAGUUGGUGAGGGUAACGGCCCACCAAGGCGACGAUGGGUAGCCGGCCUGAGAGGGUGAACGGCCACACUGGAACUGAGACACGGUCCAGACUCCUACGGGAGGCAGCAGUGGGGAAUAUUGUGCAAUGGGGGAAACCCUGACACAGCGACGCCGCGUGAGUGAAGAAGGCCUUCGGGUCGUAAAGCUCAAUAGUAUGGGAAGAAAGAAAUGACGGUACCAUACGAAAGCCCCGGCUAACUACGUGCCAGCAGCCGCGGUAAUACGUAGGGGGCGAGCGUUGUCCGGAAUUACUGGGCGUAAAGAGCACGUAGGCGGCUAUAAAAGUCAGAUGUGAAAAACCUGGGCUCAACCGAGGGUAUGCAUCUGAAACUAUA